rnacentral:rRNA from 1 species
UACGAAGGGGGCUAGCGUUGCUCGGAAUCACUGGGCGUAAAGGGUGCGUAGGCGGGUUGUUAAGUCAGGGGUGAAAUCCUGGAGCUCAACUCCAGAACUGCCUUUGAUACUGGCGAUCUCGAGUCCGGGAGAGGUGAGUGGAACUGCGAGUGUAGAGGUGAAAUUCGUAGAUAUUCGCAAGAACACCAGUGGCGAAGGCGGCUCACUGGCCCGGUACUGACGCUGAGGUGCGAAAGCGUGGGGAGCAAACAGG